rnacentral:rRNA from 1 species
UACGUAGGGGGCAAGCGUUGUCCGGAAUCAUUGGGCGUAAAGCGCGUGUAGGCGGCUCCGUAAGUCCGCUCUGAAAGCCCGGGGCUUAACCCCGGGAGGCGGGUGGAUACUGCUGAGCUUGAGUCCGGAAGAGGCGAGUGGAAUUCCCGGUGUAGCGGUGAAAUGCGCAGAUAUCGGGAGGAACACCAAUGGCGAAGGCAGCUCGCUGGGACGUGACUGACGCUGAGACGCGAAAGCGUGGGGAGCAAACAGG